GAUGAACGCUGGCGGCGUGCCUAAUACAUGCAAGUCGAGCGAACGGACGAGAAGCUUGCUUCUCUGAUGUUAGCGGCGGACGGGUGAGUAACACGUGGAUAACCUACCUAUCAGACUGGGAUAACUUCGGGAAACCGGAGCUAAUACCGGAUAAUAUUUUGAACCGCAUGGUUCAAAAGUGAAAGACGGUCUUGCUGUCACUUAUAGAUGGAUCCGCGCUGCCUUAGCUAGUUGGUAAGGUAACGGCUUACCAAGGCAACGAUGCAUAGCCGACCUGAGAGGGUGAUCGGCCACACUGGGACUGAGACACGGUCCAGACUCCUACGGGAGGCAGCAGUAGGGAAUCUUCCGCAAUGGGCGAAAGCCUGACGGAGCAACGCCGCGUGAGUGAUGAAGGUCUUCGGAUCGUAAAACUCUGUUAUUAGAGAAGAACAUAUGUGUAAGUAACUGUGCACAUCUUGACGGUACCUAAUCAGAAAGCCACGGCUAACUACGUG
rnacentral:rRNA from 1 species